UUGUAUGACUUUUGGUGCCACAUAAACCAACACUCACAGAUAAAUAGUUUACGGUGUGUGAUCUUAGUGGAGAAUAUUUUGAAAAACAUUUAUGGCAUUUAUCCAAUUAUGAAUAUUUAUUUUUAUUUGUUUCAAAAUUUCAGUAGCAAGUGUAGUAUUAGAAUAGUAAAAGUUUUAGGCACUAAUUUCUUUUCGUUCGUCGGUGUUAUCUAAAAAUAAAUCAAAACAAAUUCGUCAUGAUGAAUCAAUGCAUGAAAAUAAAUAAUUACACAUGCAUAGACUUCCAUUAUUUAAAUGGGAUUUCACGAUGUAGGCGAGUGGAGACGAAUAAAGAUACACUUUACACACAUACAUACACACACACACUCACACUUUUUCUUAAAAUUCCAAUCAUUUCUUCAAACAUUGUUAUCUCUCGCUUUGUCGGGUGUGUUUAGAAAAUAGAAUCUUUGUUCUAUUCAAUAAUAUUUUCCCAUUGUUGGUAACUGUGGCAGGUUAAUUAUGUGCGGAUUAAAAUUAUUCAAAGGAUCUGAUAAAGCCUUUUAUGGUUUUAAAGAAGGUAAAGGAAGUCAGUAUAAUAUACCAGGAUUGGAAGCAGACGUCAAAAUAUCAACAAAUAAUGAAAACUAUAAGAAAAUUAAAUCAGGAUGAGAAUUUAUUUAGGAAAAAAAAAUUUAAGCAAUUAAUAUUUAUAAAAAAAAUUAGAUGAAUUCGUCAAAAUUAUUAAUUAACUUUGUAAUUGACUAAAAUAAGUUUUACGUCAUCCCGUUGAACUUAACUAGCAACAAAUCUAUUAGAUUUCGAGUCCUGAAUUAUUUCAAUGUCCUUUCAAAUCCUUUUUUGUUAUUUUAGCACGAUUUUUUUUCAUAAUAAUCCACAAAAAAUAAAAUAAAAAUAUUGUCGUUUUUAUGACAACAAAAUCGAAUCAAUUGUCUAGUGUAUUAACCUUAAAAAUGUAAAUAAAAGUUGUUUUAUAUGAAAAAA